CUAGAUGCCUGAGUCAUUGCUUCACACAUCCUGCCUUGCUUCAGCACUUCCUCAUUCAAAGCAGGGGCUCGUCGGAGAAGCACCUUUGACUCUCAGCAGUCGCAUGCAGGAUAUCAAGAGAAGUUCCUCACAGGCCGCACGAGGAGCCUACGGAGCCACCUCGCCCCCACGGGAGUUAAGCACUCCUGCGCGUACGCAGUCCAAUUCAGGCAGCUGGAUGCCGCACGCACACAUCAACGGAUAGAGCUUUGUUUCAACAGAGGCAAAAGUCACAGCUGAAGUGCCUGGUGAAUUUAGUGACGUGGGACAAUUCCUAGCAACUGGGAAGCCACAAAAAUGAAAAGGGAGACUGCUUUCUGGAUGGUUGCCUGUUUACUGUUCACAUCUCUACCCAGAGGUCAGCCAGACACAACGUGCCAUGCAUUUGUGGGAGAAACUGUCAUUUUGCCUUGUACCAUCACCUCUCCUGGAGAGCUAGAUGUUUCCGAUUCAAAGCUCUACUGGCAGAUAGAGUCUACUAUAGUGCAUUUUUUUCACAAUGGGGAAGAUUCACUGAGGUACCAGGAUAUAAAUUACCGUGGCAGAACCAGUCUUUUUUUGGAUGAGGUGAAGCAUGGCAACUUUUCUCUACAGCUCUCCAACAUCCGAUUAGAGGAUGCAGCUGAAUAUACUUGCAUCUAUAAACAGGCUAGGACUCUCUCCAACAAAACACAGAAAUCUAAAAUUAAACUCAAUGUAUCAGAUCACAGUCAGGCUUCCCCAAGAAGUCCUGGUGAUGCACAGGGACUAGAUAUACUUGCUCUCUCUUUUCAUCUCCUGGUAACACUGGUGGUUUGGCAUUUGUGA
rnacentral:lncRNA from 1 species